rnacentral:lncRNA from 1 species
AGACCAGGAAGGCAGCAGCCCUGCCCACCAGGAGCCAGCUAUCACAGACACUGGCAGCUGGCUCAGCUCUGCAGGAGAAGAGAGUAAUGGCUGGUAUCUCCCCUGCUGUCCUUGGCUGCCCAUGUGUCACCUUGGAUAGGGACACUGCAGUCCAUGAAGUGCAAGAAAAUAUCACAUCAGGGGACAGUUUCACACUGGCCUCCAGCAACACUGACUUUGCCUUCAGCCUCUACAGGAAGCUGGUUUUGAAGAAUCCAGAUGAAAAUGUUGUCUUCUCCCCAUUCAGCAUCUCAGCGGCCUUGGCCCUGCUGUCCCUGGGAGCAAAGAGCAACACCCUGAAGGAAAUCCUAGAAGGUCUCAAGUUCAACCUCACAGAGACCCCUGAACCAGACAUCCACCAGGGCUUUAGGUACUUGCUAGACUUCUCAGUCAGCCAGGGGACCAGGUACAGAUCAGCACAGGCAGUGCCCUGUUUAUUGAAAAGCACCUACAGAUCCUGGCAGAGUUCAAGGAGAAGGCAAGGGCUCUGUACCAGGCUGAGGCCUUCACAGCAGAUUUCCUGCAGCCUCGCCAGGCCACAAAGCUCAUCAAUGACUAUGUGAGCAAUCAGACCCAGGGGAAGAUCAAGGAACUCAUCUCAGACCUGGAUAAGAGCACGUUGAUGGUGCUGGUGAAUUACAUCUACUUUAAAGGAUCUUCUAAUUAUUAUAAAACUACUAAAGGAUACUGUGCUGUUGAAGGUAUAUUGACAGCUGUCAUAACUCAGCAGUUGGUGCCAUAUAGACUGGAGGUGUGGUCUCUGUGCUACUGUUACAAUCUGAUGAUUAGCUCCACAUUUAGGCAAAUGGAAGAUGCCCUUUGACCCCCAUGACACAUUUAAUUCCGUGUUCUACUUGGAUGAGAAGAGGUCUGUGAAUGUGUCCAUGAUGAAAAUUGAGGAAUUGACCACACCCUACUUCCGGGAUGAUGAGCUGUCCUGCACUGUGGUGGAGCUGAAGUACACCGGAAAUGCAAGUGCUAUGUUCAUCCUCCCUGACCAGGGCAGGAUGCAGCAGGUCGAAGCCAGCUUACAACCAGAGACCCUGAGGAAGUGGAAGAACUCUCUGAAGCCCAGGAGGAUAGAUGAGCUCCACCUGCCCAAGUUCUCCAUCUCCAUGGACAACAGCCUGGAGCACAUCCUUCCUGAGCUGGGCAUCAGGGAGCUCUUCUCCACACAGGCUGACCUGUCUGCAAUCACAGGAACCAAGGACCUGAGAGUCUCUCAGGUGGUCCACAAGGCUGUGCUGGAUGUGGCUGAGACAGGCACAGAGGCAGCUGCUGCCACAGGGGUCAAAUUAAUUCUAUGUUGUGAAAAAAUCUAUUCUAUGACAAUAUAUUUCAACAGGCCGUUCCUGAUGAUUAUCUCUGACAUAAACGCUCACAUUGCCCUCUUUAUGGCCAAAGUUACAAAUCCCAAGUGAGACCAGAACUUCUCAAAUGGGGAAAGGGCCCCUUCCCAAGAGCUGAGAAUUGAGCCUGUAUGUCUGUCUGUCUGCACAUUUUGGCUUCCAUGCUCUGCUUGGCUGAGGCAUGCCUGACUAGACAGUGACACUGACUAACUCUGUGACUCCCUCAUGCAGAGAAACAAGCCUAUGGCUGGUCAGUGUCAGACUCUCUGUCAUCUUGGCAGCCCUAGCUCAGGAUCCUGACCUGAAAUUUGUGUUAUUCCCUAUCCCUGCUCUCUCCCCUGUAUCUGCCUCAACUCAAAAGCGUGGGCCCAGCAGUGAGGCUCUCUCCUAACUUAGGCUCUGCUUAUGUCUGCUGUCAGCUUUUCAGUCAUGAUGGGACUUUGAAAGUUUAAAGCCAACUCAUAAGGUCUAAGAAGGGAACCUGCUGCCCUGGGUCUAUCUGCAGCAUCUGAAACACUUGACGCCCAGUUCUGCCUUAGUCUUGCCUUCCUUUGGGCAGAGCUAUCCAUAGCCCCUGCAGAAUCUCUUGGCCCUGCCCACCUCUGGCACAGGUGGAGCACUCAACCCUGCAAAUGCAUGGGGCCUGUGGGUCAAAGCAGCUCCCCCUAGCACUCCUACUCAGAACAGAGAAGUAGCCUAACCCUAAGUCUCUAAUUGACCAACCUCAUAGGACAGGUGGACACCUCCACCUUCAUCACCCAAAUUGAAAGGGCAGGAGCUAAUGAUCAAUAAACAUAUAACUGCAUUGAAUGUGA